GUCCACGCCGUAAACGAUGAGUGCUAGCUGUAGGGAGCUAUAAGUUCUCUGUAGCGCAGCUAACACAUUAAGCACUCCGCCUGGGGAGUACGACCGCAAGGUUGAAACUCAAAGGAAUUGACGGGGGCCCGCACAAGCGGUGGAGCAUGUGGUUUAAUUCGAAGCAACGCGAAGAACCUUACCAGGUCUUGACAUACUCGUGCUAUCCUUAGAGAUAAGGAGUUCCUUCGGGACACGGGAUACAGGUGGUGCAUGGUUGUCGUCAGCUUGUGUCGUGAGAUGUUGGGUUAAGUCCCGCAACGAGCGCAACCCUUAUUACUAGUUGCCAUCAUUAAGUUGGGCACUCUAGUGAGACUGCCGGUGAUAAACCGGAGGAAGGUGGGGAUGACGUCAAAUCAUCAUGCCCCUUAUGACCUGGGCUACACACGUGCUACAAUGGAUGGUACAACGAGUCGCCAACCCGCGAGGGUGCGCUAAUCUCUUAAAACCAUUCUCAGUUCGGAUUGCAGGCUGCAACUCGCCUGCAUGAAGUCGGAAUCGCUAGUAAUCGCGGAUCAGCACGCCGCGGUGAAUACGUUCCCGGGCCUUGUACACACCGCCCGUCACACCACGGAAGUUGGGAGUACCCAAAGUAGGUUGCCUAACCGCAAGGAGGGCGCUUCCUAAGGUAAGACCGAUGACUGGGGUGAACUCGUAACAAGGUAAC
rnacentral:rRNA from 1 species